rnacentral:rRNA from 1 species
UACAGAGACUGCAAGCGUUAUUCGGAUUCACUGGGCGUAAAGGGUGCGCAGGCGGCCAAGUGUGUGAGGCGUGAAGGCCCGGGGCUUAACCCCGGAAUUGCACCUCAAACUACAUGGCUAGAGCAUUGGAGAGGGUAGCAGAAUUCAUGGUGUAGCAGUGAAAUGCGUAGAUAUCAUGAGGAAUACCAGAGGCGAAGGCGGCUACCUGGACAAUUGCUGACGCUCAGGCACGAAAGCGUGGGGAGCAAACAGG